rnacentral:rRNA from 1 species
UACGAAGGGGGCUAGCGUUGCUCGGAAUUACUGGGCGUAAAGGGCGCGUAGGCGGACAGUUUAGUCAGAGGUGAAAGCCCAGGGCUCAACCUUGGAAUUGCCUUUGAUACUGGCUGUCUUGAGUUCGGGAGAGGUGAGUGGAAUGCCGAGUGUAGAGGUGAAAUUCGUAGAUAUUCGGCGGAACACCAGUGGCGAAGGCGACUCACUGGCCCGAUACUGACGCUGAGGCGCGAAAGCGUGGGGAGCAAACA